rnacentral:rRNA from 1 species
AUUGAACGCUGGCGGCAGGCCUAACACAUGCAAGUCGAGCGAGCGGCGGACGGGUGAGUAAUGUAUGGGGACUGCCCGAUAGAGGGGGAUAACUACUGGAAACGGUAGCUAAUACCGCAUACUAUCGGAUAACCCAUAUGGGAUUAGCUAGUAGGUGAGGUAAUGGCUCACCUAGGCGACGAUCCCUAGCUGGUCUGAGAGGAUGAUCAGCCACACUGGGAGUGGGGCACGGCCCAGACACCUACGGUGUCAGCAGUGGGGAAUAUUGCACAAUGGGCGAAAGCCUGAUGCAGCCAUGCCGCGUGUAUGAAUAAGGCCCUAGGGUUGUAAGGUACUUUCAGUCGGGAGGCGUUGCCGACAGAAGAAGCACCGACUAACUCCGUGCCAGCAGCCGCGGUAAUAC